CCCACGUCCAAGGACGGCAGCAGGCGCGAAAAUUGCCCACUCUUUGCAGGAGGCAGUUAUGAGACGUGAAGAUGAGUAUCUUGUAAAGAGGGAUAGGAGAAUUGGAGGGCAAGUUUGGUGCCAGCAGCCGCGGUAAUACCGACUCCAAGAGUGUGUAUGAGAGAUGCUGCAGUUAAAAAGUCCGUAGUCAUAGAAGGGCAAAGAGAGAUGCGAGGUCUCACAGUGCGAUGAUGGAGGAGCCGAUGGGGAACAUAGUAUACCAGGGCGAGAGAUGAAAUGCCAAGACCCCUGGUGGACUGAGCGAGGCGAAGGCGAUGUUCUUGUAGGCAUUCGGUGAUCAAGGACGAAGGCUGGAGUAUCGAAAGUGAUUAGAUACCGCAGUAGUUCCAGCAGUAAAAGAUGCCGACAUGCUCAUUGGACACAGUGGGCAGGGAGAAAUCUUAGAGUUCGGGCUCUGGGGAUAGUAUGCUCGCAAGGGUGAAAAUUAAAGAAAUUGACGGAGCUACACCACAAGGAGUGGAUUGUGCGGCUUAAUUUGACUCAACGCGAGGAAACUUACCAGGGCCAAGUAUUGUGUAGAAACGAGCAAUACAGGAGUGGUGCAUGGUCGUUGGAAAUUGAUGGGAUGACUUUGACCUUAAAUGGUUGAAUGAGUGAGAUCUUUUGGACAUGUUCCGCACGGAACAGGAAGGAAAAGGCUAUAACAGAUCCGAGAUGCCCUCAGAUGCCCUGGGCUGCACGCGCAAUACAAUAGCAGGUAGAGAGAGAGACAGGAAGGUGCUCAGAUGGACUAUGUGCUGUAAGGCACAUACGAAAGAGGAAUUCCUAGUAAGUGUGUAUCAACAAUGGAUAU
rnacentral:rRNA from 1 species